rnacentral:lncRNA from 7 species
UCCAGUAGUUACAAGGAUGCAAGCUGUCUAGGGGUAAAGCAGGGCAUUAAUUUUCCCCCAGAUUACUUCUGCCUCAUUCAUGUUAGAAUUAAGGUACCAGGACAAACUCCAGGAUGAACACGGUAUUAGAGGCCUUGGCUUGGAAACCAGCAUCAUUCCUUCAUGUCAAACCCUGCAGUGGGAGCUAUGUGCUGAAUGCCUAACCAUCUCAGAAGCAUUAGAAUUGUUAUUUGCCCAUUCAGAGGAUUUCCUUGCUGCAGAACCCAUUCAAAGAGCUGUGUAUAAACACAUCAGUGGCUAUGCUGAGAAAAUCCAGGCCUCUUAAUAUUGAGAGCACAGCAAGCAUUGUGGCAGUGCUGAAACAACACCCAUUGUUGGCGGCUGCAGCAGUCCAGGACUUCUACCUGCAGAAUCCUGCUGAUGUGCAGCCUGUGCAGCAGAAGUUUGCCCCAGGCAGGAGCAAUGGAUACGUGCUGCUCCUUCUGUCCCACCCCUCAGCACAAGGACCAUGAGCUGGGCAUGAAGCUGCGAGAAGUUUGAAUAGCAGUCGUCAUGAAAUGUGGCUGUGAAAAGCAAGUGGAUGAAGAACGGCAUACAUUCCUGCUUGUGUGUUGGAUUGAAUAGGGAGAAAUGCAAGGCUCUGCGGAGUACUUUUAAUUAUUGCAUAUGACAGAAUGUUACUUCCAGCAAUCUGUUAAUAAGCUAGAAAGCUCUGAAGUGUGUCCUGGUGAUGAAAACUUGACACUGCUAUGGGCAACAUUUGAUGUGAAUGAACUUGAGAGAAGCGGCUUGUCUUCCUCCAGAGGAUGGGGAGCAGGAUGAUGGGGAUGGACUUUUUUUCCCAUUGCAAACAGUUAUUUGUGGUGAGAGAGGGGCAACUGUACCGUCUCUUUGCCUACUUCUGUCGUGUCCUGUGGCUGCUGGGUUUGUUAUUCAUGGGCAGUCACUUCUGGUUGAUGCAACCAGUUCAUUUAUAAUAAGCCGCAAAGUCUAGAGUUCUUAAUUGGCAAGAUAUGCAAUCCAGUUUCUGAUUUGAUAGCAGUAGGUCAGGAACAUUGUGCAUACAUACACCAGAUCAAGUACUUUGUGUUGACUGUCAGAUGGAAAGUUUUAAAACAUAUGUAAAACCAAUUCCCUGCUAAUACAAAGCUUAACUAGUAUGUGGUCCAUUCUGAUGGCGACAGUAGUUGUGGUUUGUAUAUGAUUUGUCUUGAUGAUGAAACUUUUUCUUUGUAAUUACUACAGGCAAGUUCUGUUAAAGCAACUACAUCUCAAAAUGCUGGCCUUGAUUCUCGAGAGGAAUAUGCUGGGCUGACACCAGUUGAUGUGGAUAUGAACCUAGUAACUAACCUGCUUGAAUCUCACAGAGCUCAGGCUGGGCUGGCAGGACCCACCUCUAACAUUUUACAGAGCAUGGGCGUGUGUUUAGCUGAAAUUACAGAUAGGAUUGGUUCUAGUGAAGGUGCAACAGAAUAAGAGGCUGUCUCAAUUCAAAAGACAGGACUGUUUGGGAAAAGAGACAGAAGAAGUAGCAGCAUUUGGGAGAAAAGAUGAGGUCUGAAUUUAAAGCAUUUUAUAUAUGUGUUGUGUGGAUUUAAAGGCAUAAAGUGAAUUUAUCUGGAAAUGCUGUCUACAUGCAUACUGUCUUAGGAUUAGCAUUUUUUCCAGUAGUAGUAUGCUUUCAGAAAAGUGCAAAAUGAUGUUGUGAGUGGAAUGAAACUCUUGUUACAAAAUGUCUUUAAAGUUGCCAUUCCAAUUUGCCAUAUUUCCAAAAUAUCCUUUAUCCAUAGCAAGGUGCUGUCAAUAUAUGGAAAAUGCUGCUGCAUUCACAGGAAGACAGGAAUCCAUGCGGGAGUUCUCAUGUGGGUUUGGGAGUGCUGAUUCAAUGUUCAUCACAUGUUUAAUUGCUUCUUCAAAAGUAGAAAUGCUGUAUUCUAAAAACUUUUGAUAAUUGUUGUAAGAAUGUUGUUUUCACUCACUAGGAGUGUUUGAGUAAGCUAAUAGAAUAUGUAAAUAGUGCUAUAAUACUGAGUUUAUUUAAAAUAAAAGUACAACU